rnacentral:ncRNA from 1 species
UUGAGCCGUAUGCCGUGAAAGUGGCACGUACGGUUCUUAGGAGGGGAAAGAAUGAGAAUUCCUACCUAUUCCAAU